rnacentral:RNase_P_RNA from 1 species
GGAGCCGGCCAGACAGUCGCGUCAUCCCAUCGCAAGACGGGAUGCCGAGGAAAGUCCGGGCUCCACAGGGCACGGUGCCAGGUAACGCCUGGGCGGCGCGAGCCGACGGAAAGUGCAACAGAAAGAUACCGCCGAACGGCCUCGCCACCCCUGUGCUUCCAGCGUUCGAAGAAAGUGGACUUGGCGUCGCGCAGCGACGAUCAAGUCCCAUUCGAGAUCGGGUACGGAAGCAGAGGGGUGGCGAGGUGCGUGGCAAGGGUGAAAUGGUGCGGCAAGAGCGCACCGCGAGCCUGGCAACAGGCCGGCACGGCAAACCCCACCGGGAGCAAGGCCAAAUAGGGUCCUCAUGGCGCGGCCCGCGUCGGGACCGGGUAGGCUGCUUGAGUUCAGCGGUGACGCUGCGCCUAGAGGAAUGACUGUCCACGACAGAACCCGGCUUAUCGGCCGGCUCCGCUU